rnacentral:rRNA from 1 species
UACGGGGGGUGCGAGCGUUAAUCGGAAUUACUGGGCGUAAAGGGUGCGUAGGCGGUUUAGUCAGUCAGUCGUGAAAGCCCUGGGCUUAACUUGGGAACGGCGAUUGAGACGGCUAGGCUAGAGUGGACCAGAGGAUCGUGGAAUUCCGGGUGUAGCGGUGAAAUGCGUAGAGAUCCGGAGGAACACCGAUGGCGAAGGCAGCGGUCUGGAGUCACACUGACGCUGAGGCACGACAGCGUGGGGAGCAAACAGG